ensembl:lncRNA
GUAAUGAGAAGCAUAUUGAGGAAUCCAUUAAGCAUGCAAUAGCUGCAAAGAUGGAAAGUAGCCUUGAUAAAAGUUAAAUUCAGAAACACCCUUUCAAACAGGAACCAACUCUUAUUUUCUAAAUCCAAUGAUGACAGGAAUUACAGUAGCUUAAUGCUGAAACAGUGACCUGCAGAAAUUCUAAUUGUUUUUGUACUUAAAAUUUACCACGAUAAGUUACUAUAAAGCAAGCAAGAAACAAGAACAAACUUCUCCAGUUGUACAAAAAUAGAGAGCCCUCAGACAGAAACUGUGGGGUGUUCAAGAUAAGAUUGAGAGAACACAGCAGUUAUAUUACAUAAUUACUGCUCCACUCGUAAAACAUUUAAACUGUUUACUUCCCACUUACAUAUCUAGAGUAAUGCUAACACCUUGCUUUGUGAAAUCCUCCAGGGUCCAACACGUCAGGGACUAGAUCAUUAUUAUCAUUAUAGCAAAGAUGAAGGAAUAUUGUGCAAAUAGUUCUAGAUUUAACUAUGCUGAUUUUUAAAUAUUUUAAAAUUCUCUCUUGUUAUAUGAGAAAGAAUAUAUUUAGGAAACAUUUAUUUUGCAAUGCGCAUUUCUGCACAUUUCUGUUCCUUAGGGAUUUUUUAACUAUCUGAAAAAUUAGAAGUGUGAAAUUUUAGGGCUGGAUUUUACUGGGUUUUUGGAUUAGCUAUCUUAUGUAAAAAUUGCUCAUAAUGUUCAAAGAACGAGUUGCCUUCUCAGAGAAAUCUGUGUGUAACUGAAGGCUGCUAAAUUUCAAGGAGCAAAAAUAGUUUGGGUGUUACUUUGUGGUGGAAGGCAUUUAAAAGGAUUAUUUUGGCUAAGCUUGCAACAAAUCUUUGCAAUAGUGAGAUACCAGUCUUUGUGGGAAGAAUGUUUGUCUAAUUGGAACUUUGUUGACUUGGCAAAACACUAGCUGAUGACAUGCAGGGAAGCUUCUUGUAUUAGCAGAGAACGACAGGAAGAUAAGCUAGUAGGUCUUUUAGACACUGCAUUCUGGACUCUCCCUUUCCUCCCAUACAAAUAGAAAGGAAAUUAAAAAGAGGAAGGUGAUACUGAAAAUAUGAGAACGUGUUCCUCUGUGACACUCCCUUUGCUUCCUAAUAGUAUCUCAGCAGGAAGUUCUGCAGCAGUAGCCUUUCUUGUGAGAUUAUUGAUAAAAAUGGAGGUGCUAAACGAAUAAAAAAUAAACAAAUUAUGAAGUUUGAAGAAAUAAAUGUUUCAGAGGAAGUAUAGAGUAGAUUGAAAUACUGAAUAGUGUUCUGGUUCCUUUUUUUUUUUUAAUCAAAUUUUUUCAGCUCAUGCUGACAUUAUUUAGGUUUCUAAUACAGCUACAGGGUAUUAAAUAAAUAUGAUAACUUAAAUAUAAUCAGUGGAAGUCUUAUUUAGGCUAAGUAAGGCACACAACUGAACUGAAUUCUGCUAGCAAUCUUUCACAGAUUUCUAGUGUGUUAUCUGGUGAGGAGUUCCUUGUGGGAUGCUUGAUCAGACAUAGCAGCCUAUUUCUCAGGUGUUGCUCUGCGGAUAAAGAUAUUGAAAUGAUUUCUCCUAAUAGAAGUCACUUCUGAAUAUAAUUACUAUGAACAGAUUUUUACCAUUGAGAUACUUUCUAUUUCAUGACUUAUUAUUUUCCUGCCUCUCUUAUUUUCCUGCUGUAACCUGAUUCUCAUUUUACCUCCAGAAGUGAGGUGAUCACCAGGGCACUCAGUUGUGGACUCUCAUUAUGAGCUUGAACAAAACCUCCGAAGAAAAGUUCUCUUUUUUGUUGCAGUCAUAGCACUUUUAAAUGGAUAUAACCUCUCAACUGCCCACAGGCACUUCAGUGUACUAACAUCUCCUCUUUCCCUACACAAAGUCUUGCAUGUGUUUGAAUGAGCGCAUGACUGGCUACGUCAGCAACCUUGGGCAGCAAUAUCUUUGCAAGAGGAGACAAAUCCUCAGGAAUGAACAAAUGCCAGCUAAUUCCAUGUGGCUGGGCUUGAUAUGGUCAUGAAAAAAGAACCAACAACACAACAACAUUUAAAGAAAAUAGUCAAACAAUCCUCAUUUAUACAAGAGUUGCCCUUCUAAAUACCAAAUCUCUACUAGUAUCAGGGAGAAAGAAGUAUUUCCCAGAAUAUUCAGAAAGAUCAGCUGUCUUUAAAGAUUAACAGCACUAAUUUGUGCUUGGUCUUUGGGGCUUUUUGUUUCUUUCUGUGAGAUGCUAAGCAGUCUAAAAUAAUAGCUUUAUUGAAUAGCUGCACUGUGGUUGGUCUAAGCACAACUUAGCAACUAAUGAAGGCCCCUAAAGUUCAGUACAGCCCUCAGCCUGUGACUACAGGAAAAAAUUUAAGACACUAGAAAGAGUAUUUGCCUAGAAGCAGGACACCAUUGUGGUGAGCUUGAUUCCUUCACUCUUUCUGUGUUUACCUAUUCCCUCAGCCCAAUAUACAGGCCCAAGGGUAGCUGUCUGUCUAAUAACUUAUUCAACUGUCUUCUAAAAAAGGAGCGACCCAUGAGUCAUUUCACACUCCCUGGGCCCUCUGUAUGGGUAGCAUGAAAGCUCAACCAUGCACACAAACUGUUUUCUUUCCAUUAAGGUAAUUGGUAUACCCUUUUUGGGGAUAUAUGUCACAUGACUUGACUUCAUUGCCAGGCAGUCAGCCUCACUUCACUUCACUUACUGUAGUGUGGCAUGCCCAUGCAGUCAGCCUCUGCAGCAGAUGCCACGCAGACCUGAUAUGAUAACACUAUCACCCAAUCAUGCUUGGGAGCGCAUAGCUUCAUGAUAGGCAAGAGACAUUUGCCUUGUGCUGCCCACUGCUUCUAGAUAAUCUCAAGCCUGUCAGUGAGCCUUUCAAAACACAGCCUUACAAGAAUCUUUUUUUUUUUUUUUUUGCUUCAGCCUUUUAUGGUUAUCAACAAAUUAAAUAUCUGCCCCCCUCCCCCCUCCCAGUUUCAAACCUUCUAAUUCGUUGCCAGUAAAGCUUCUCAGUGAUUAUAGAAAAUGAAGCAGAGCUGCUGUGUGUGGAUAAAAAAGAAGAUUCUUUGAGUCCUUAUUUCCUGAUUUAGUGAAGAAGUUUCAGGUUAGAGCAAACAUAAUAAUUCAAGUAUUGCUGCAAGGCGUAUCUUCAGUAACUUAAGUAGCACUUGUCUUCUUGAUCUUGGUUUUUCUCUCAUUUCCACAAAUACAUCCUGGAACACAAGCUCCUGCUGUUGCAGGCAACUGUGUAUGUAGUCCCUUACAUGCAGUGGUCUAACUCUUUUUUAAAGCCAGGUGAAUUAUUUUUCCUCAUUGCUCCCAUUGUUCAGGAAUUUAAUUCCUCUAAUAGUUAGAAAGAUGCUAAGUCAAAACUAACUGUGACCAUCCUUUGCAGUUAGCUCUUAUACCUCAUUGUCCUCUAAUUUAAAUAGAUCUCUCACUGAGUAAUGCAUUCUGGGGUAUUGUUAGAAAAUGCCUGCAGCAUUGUUUUCAUAGACUAAACAAGACUUUUCCUGUAUGAUAAACUUUCCAAUCUGCUGUUUUCCUGGUACUCCUCCUGUCUUUUCCAAUCUUAAUUCACCUUUAUCCAGCCCAUGGACCAGAACAACAUCCAACACCCCACUGAUGGGUUCACCAGUGCUCUGCUCCUCCUAAAAUCACUUCACCUGCUGCUUCCUAAAGCUUCACUUGCCUUGUUACAGCCAAAUGGCAGUGAUGGUAUCUGAGCAGCCACUGAUGGCUCUGUACAACAAAGUCACAGCUUCUACCGCUAAAUAUUUUUCCAUUUGUACUGAAAGUCACUCAGAAUUACUUACAUAAUAUCAGAGUUCUUCGUAUGUUUCCAACACUGCUCAGUUUCAUGUUAUCAGGGAAAUUUUCUAGCCCAUCAUUAGUUUCUCAGACAACACAGUUUGCAUGAAGCAUAAUAACUGGGAAACAAACAAAAGGAUAGAAAGCUUUUCUCUGUGGAAUUUGUUUAGAUUUUUAACCUGUAUAUCUAGCACAUACCUGAGUAGAUUUCUGUUCACAUAUCUUUAACAGGAACAUGCUAAAGAGACAGUCAGAGACCAAACUUUUUCUUCACAUUUAGAUAUGGCUGACAUUAAAGAGUAUGUUAGUUCAAAGUGGUAUUUUUCUCCCUUAGGCUCAUCUGCUUUUGUUGAUCAGCUUUCUACUCUAAUAAUAUUUUCUUUUUUUCCACUGACUGACAUUUACUUACUGCAGUAGCAAGUCCUUGAUAAUCGCAUUCUCCCACUGGGCUUGUUUAAUAGUGCAGACAGAAAAGGUGGUUUUCAUAGAGUGGAAUUGUUCAGAUUUUAUCUCCUAUGAUAAUCACCAAAGAGGAUUUACAAAUCUAGCAGUGGGGGUAAAAAAAAAGAGAAAAAAAGGAAGAUGCAGGGUUUUAUUUGCAAAUUUUGAAAUGUGGCCUUUAGUUGGGAACUUGCAGACAGAUAAAGGUCAUGCAACUGCCCUCUCUAAUCUUCUGCAACUGGUGUUGAACCCUAUGUCUUCCCUGCUUGAAUAGCAUUUUCCUAAGAAUUAGCUCAGUCAUACAGUCCUAAGUAAAUGUCAGGUUCUCUUUUUCUGUCUUUGUAGGGAAUUCCCCUCCUGUUUCUAGUUUGAACUGGGAGAGUUACUUUUAAUGUGUCCAAGAAAUAUGUUUGAGUAAUGAUGAUUUUUGAAGCUGGGAUUUUCCAUUUCUCACCCUCAAUAAAACCAUAGGAUUUCCAGUCUUAAAUGGUAUAUGAGGUAUGCCCUAUUUGGGGAACUGAUAAAUCCCAACACUACCAAAAUCCAAAGUACACAUCUCUGAAAUUAAGACUAGUCUCCCUUUAAAGGCACCCACUCAUCUUCAGUAAAGGGUGAACCCUGCUAGGCAGAGUUCAGUUAUAACGUGAAAGCUGUCACAGACUCAAGUCAUAUGUCAUUGGUGGGGCUAGAUUCACUGGAAUAAAGAACCUGAAACUUUUGUUCUUUGUCUGAUUUUAUUAGAAGUUAUUAACCUGUAAGAAGAAAAAGUGAAACACUGUUUUGCAGCAGGAUCAAAGUUUAUGAUUGCAUAUCUAUACUGAAGGAAGAUCUCCAAAAAAGAAAAAAAAAAAGGAUCUUAAAAUUCUGUCAGAAAGAAAAGUUCAAAGGAAAUCAGAAUAGCUACAAAAUAGGAUAUUCUACAAAGCAGAGAUUCAUAUAAUGCCUACUGUGGUGAAAACUGCAGAUCUAAAUAUAUACGGUACUGGUCAACGUAUCUGUAUCUCAUAGCUUCCAUUCAAGAACCUAUCAUACUUAAAAGAGAGUUUCAUUGCUUGAGGGGAUGUUGCAUUCUUUAAUAAAAUAUGCGAGGCAGUUGUAGAUGCUUCUUGUAACUAUCCUGUAGAGACAACUGGGGUUUUUAUUUCACCACGUUCCCAGUGCACGAGCUGAGGGGAAAGGGGUGAAACGUUCUGAGUCCAGCCUUGUACAGAAGGUAGCUGGCAGAUUUUACCAAUAACCUUGGAAGAAUCCCCCAUUUGACCUGAAUGGAAAGUGAUACUGUGUCUGCAUGCACCAACAGUUUUGCUGUGAGGGCAAAGAUCAAAGGCCCUCAACGUUGCCAUUAUCAAACCACUGAAAGAAGCAAUGUUCGCAGCAGUGCUGGCACAUGGUCCCUCUAUCUUAACUCAGAUCAACUUUAAAUCACUCAGUGAAACAGAACAUACAGACUGUCACAGGCACCGCUGUACAAAGUACCUUCACAUAGCUUACUAUGGGCUUCUGGCUGUAUUUUAAGAGGGUUUUAACAGGAUACAGGAUGUGGCCUCUUUCCUUGACAAGCUAUCUAGAAAAAAAUAACCUUUGAUUACCCAUAGUCUGUGCACAUGUGCGUAUUUAUACACAAACAAGCACCAGCGGAGGAAACCACAGUGUUCUCAGUUUUGCAGAUCAGCUGUUUGACUUCAUUGUGUACCUAUCUACCCUGUAAUCUGAGAUCACAUAGCAACAUGAGUGUUACUGGGCCAACAAUAGCCCUGCCUUCAGCAAAAUUUCCUUUCUUAACCCUGAGCAAAAGCAAGUGUAGGAAAUGGUGUCUGUCAGAUAACAGCUGCUAAUUAUGAGAAAACGAGUGAAUGCAAUGAUUAGUCUUCAUUAACAAGUUGGUCGUACGUUUUUCUGUAUCCCAGAAGGUAUCUCAAAGAGGAGUUAUUUCAAAGCAAGAAUCAGAGUCUUAGUUGAUGUAUUCAUUAUUAAUAAUUACAAACCAGUUCAUUGUGGUCAAGCCUUUUGUGGAGUUACUCUUUGAAAGUAAAGAAAAUGUGAAGGCAAUGUCCUCUGAAACUUUACCAGUGUAUUUCACCCAACAAAUCAGAGGGUGCCAUUCACUUUUGAAGGUUAGGAAUGUUGGGUGGUCCCAUGUAGAGUCAGGAGUUGGACUUGAUGAUCCUUAUAGAUCCCUUCCCACUUAGGUUAUUCCAUUACUCUAUGAUUAUUGCUAUAUGCAGUUAACAAGUCAAUCACUUACAUGUGUACAGCCUUUAUACAGCAUAUGGUC